GACGAACGCUGGCGGCGUGCUUAACACAUGCAAGUCGAACGGAAAGGCCCUGCUUUUGUGGGGUGCUCGAGUGGCGAACGGGUGAGUAACACGUGAGUAACCUGCCCUUGACUUUGGGAUAACUUCAGGAAACUGGGGCUAAUAACGGAUAGGAGCUCCUGCUGCAUGGUGGGGGUUGGAAAGUUUCGGCGGUUGGGGAUGGACUCGCGGCUUAUCAGCUUGUUGGUGGGGUAGUGGCUUACCAAGGCUUUGACGGGUAACCGGCCUGAGAGGGUGACCGGCCACAUUGGGACUGAGAUACGGCCCAGACUCCUACGGGAGGCAGCAGUGGGGAAUAUUGCACAAUGGGCGGAAGCCUGAUGCAGCAACGCCGCGUGCGGGAUGACGGCCUUCGGGUUGUAAACCGCUUUCGCCUGUGACGAAGCGUGAGUGACGGUAAUGGGUAAAGAAGCACCGGCUAACUACGUG
rnacentral:rRNA from 1 species